GUAAUAGCUCACUGGUCGAGUGAAGUUGCGCGGAAAAUUACCGGGGCUAAGUUAUACACCGAAAUUGCGGAUUCAUUAAGAAAUUAAUGAGUGGUAGAGGAGCGUUCUAUACAGGAUGAAGUAUGAUCGAGAGGACAUAUGGACAGUAUAGAAGAGAGAAUGCCGGAAUGAGUAGCGAGAGCAAAGUGAGAAUCUUUGCCGUCGAAAAUCUAAGGUUUCCUGGGGAAGGUUCGUCCGCCCAGGGUAAGUCGGGACCUAAGGUGAGGCCGAAGGGCGUAGCCGAUGGACAGCAGGUUAAGAUUCCUGCACCAGUAUACAUGUAUAAUGCAUAAGAGGACACAUUUGAAGAAGGUGAGCGAGGAAGAGGAAAAACUCGUAUGGCAACAUAUAGUGAAAUAAAGUAACGAAUCAUCAAGAGGCAAGUGGCGAGAAAAGUCUUAUGUAGUUGUGUAGACUGCCCGUACCGCAAACCGACACAGGUAGAUGAGGAGAGGAUCCUAAGACGAGCGGGAGAAGCAUUGUUAAGGAACUCGGCAAAUUGACCCCGUAACUUAGGGAUAAGGGGUGCUGGUGUAAAAACCAGUCGCAGUAAAUAGGCCCAAGCAACUGUUUAACAAAAACACAGGUUUCUGCUAAAUCGCAAGAUGAAGUAUAGGAGCUGACUCCUGCCCAGUGCUGGAAGGUUAAGGGGAAAGGUUAGGAAUAAUUCAUUAUAUCUGAAGCUUUGAACUCAAGCCCCAGUGAACGGCGGCCGUAACUAUAACGGUCCUAAGGUAGCGAAAUUCCUUGUCAGGUAAGUUCUGACCCGCACGAAAGGAGUAAUGAUUUGGGCACUGUCUCAACAAUGUACCCGGCGAAAUUGUAGUACUAGUGAAGAUGCUAGUUACCUGCGACAAGACGGAAAGACCCCAUGGAGCUUUACUAUAGCCUGAUAUUGGGCUUUGGUAUCUUAUGUACAGGAUAGGUGGGAGACUAUGAGAUUAAGACGCAAGUCUUAAAGGAGUCAACCUUGGAAUACCACCCUUAAGAUAUUAGAGUUCUAACUUGUGAUCAUAAACUGGUCAGAGGACAUUGUCAGGUGGGUAGUUUGACUGGGGCGGUCACCUCCUAAAGAGUAACGGAGGUGCGCAAAGGUUUCCUCGGCACGGUCAGAAAUCGUGCUAAUGAGUGUAAAGGCAUAAGGAAGCUUAACUGAGAGAGAGACAUCUCGAGCAGAUACGAAAGUAGGUCUUAGUGAUCCGGUGGUAGAAAAUGGAAUUGCCAUCGCUCAACGGAUAAAAGUUACCCUGGGGAUAACAGGCUUAUCUCCCCCAAGAGUUCACAUCGACGGGGAGGUUUGGCACCUCGAUGUCGGCUCAUCGCAUCCUGGGGCUGAAGUCGGUCCCAAGGGUUGGGCUGUUCGCCCAUUAAAGCGGUACGCGAGCUGGGUUCAGAACGUCGUGAGACAGUUCGGUCCUUAUCUGUCGCAGGCGCAGGAUAUUUGAGGAGAUCUGCCCCUAGUACGAGAGGACCAGGGUGGACGAACAGAUGGUGCAACAGUUGUUCUACCAAGAGCAUAGCUGUGUAGCCAAGUUCGGAAUGGAUAAACGCUGAGAGCAUCUAAGUGUGAAGCCAACUCCAAGAUAAGAUAUCCCAUACCAUUAAGGUAGU
rnacentral:rRNA from 1 species